GUCAGUUUGGCCGAGCGGUUAAGGCGAUAGACUUGAAAUCUAUUGGGAUUAUCCCGCGCAGGUUCAAAUCCUGCAGCUGACG